rnacentral:rRNA from 1 species
AUUAGAGUUUGAUCCUGGCUCAGGAUGAACGCUAGCGACAGGCCUAACACAUGCAAGUCGAGGGGCAGCACAAGGGUAGCAAUACUCUGGUGGCGACCGGCGCACGGGUGAGUAUCGCGUAUGCAACCUACCUACCACAGGGGGAUAGCCUUCCGAAAGGGAGAUUAAUACCGCAUGAAACAGGGGUCCCGCAUGGGGAUAUUUGUUAAAGAUUUAUCGGUGGUAGAUGGGCAUGCGUUCCAUUAGCUAGUUGGCGGGGUAACGGCCCACCAAGGCGACGAUGGAUAGGGGAACUGAGAGGUUUAUCCCCCACACUGGGACUGAGACACGGCCCAGACUCCUACGGGAGGCAGCAGUGAGGAAUAUUGGUCAAUGGGCGGGAGCCUGAACCAGCCAAGUCGCGUGGAGGACGACGGUUCUAUGGAUUGUGAACUCCUUUUGCACCGGGGUAAAACGGGGGACGUGUCCCCCCUUGCAAGUACAGUGCGAAUAAGCAUCGGCUAACUCCGUGCCAGCAGCCGCGGUAAUAAU